rnacentral:rRNA from 1 species
ACUCAAAUGAAUAGACGGGGCCCCGCACAAGCAGUGGAUUAUGUGGUUUAAUUCGAAGCAACGCGAAGAACCUUACCAGGGUUUGACAUCCAACGGACCUGAUGGAAACAUCGGGGUGCCCUUCGGGGAGCGUUGAGACAGGUGGUGCAUGGUUGUCGUCAGCUCGUGUCGUGAGAUGUUGGGUUAAGUCCCGCAACGAGCGCAACCCUUAUUGCUAGUUGCUACGCGAGAGCACUCUAGCGAGACUGCCGUUGACAAAACGGAGGAAGGUGGGGACGACGUCAAAUCAUCAUGCCCCUUAUAUCCUGGGCUACACACGUAAUACAAUGGCGUUUAACAGAGGGAAGCAAGGGCGCGAGCCGGAGCAAAUCCCGAAAAGGCGUCUCAGUUCGGAUCGCAGGCUGCAACCCGCCUGCGUGAAGUCGGAAUUGCUAGUAAUCGCGGAUCAUCAUGCCGCGGUGAAUACGUUCCCGGGGCUUGUACACACCGCCCGU